rnacentral:misc_RNA from 1 species
GAAAUGCGAUAAGUAAUGUGAAUUGCAGAAUUCAGUGAAUCAUCGAAUCUUUGAACGCACAUUGCGCCCGCCAGUAUUCUGGCGGGCAUGCCUGUUCGAGCGUCAUUUCAAUCAUCAAGCCACCGGGCUUCUGGUGGGGACCCUGCGGCUGCUCGCAGGCCCUGAAAUGCAGUGCCGGGGUCGCUGUCCACACCGAGCGUAGUAGCAUUACACCUCGCUCAGGGCGUGCGGCGGGCUCCGGCCGUUAAACGCGACCUUAACACAUACCAAGGUUAACCUCGGAUCAGGGAGGAAGACCCGCUGAACUUAA